rnacentral:tRNA from 1 species
GAAUAAGAAGCAAUUAAUUGCAGUCAGUUUCGACCUGACAUUUAGAUAAUAUAAUAUUAUCCUUAUUUU